GGAGAGAUGGCCGAGUUGGCUGAAGGCGUUGGUCUCGAAAACCAAUGUGCGGGAAACCGUACCGGGGGUUCGAAUCCCUCUCUCUCCGCCA
rnacentral:tRNA from 1 species